rnacentral:rRNA from 1 species
AGAGUUUGAUCCUGGCUCAGGACGAACGCUGGCGGCGUGCUUAACACAUGCAAGUCGAACGGAAAGGCCCUGCUUGCAGGGUACUCGAGUGGCGAACGGGUGAGUAACACGUGGGUGAUCUGCCCUGCACUUCGGGAUAAGCCUGGGAAACUGGGUCUAAUACCGGAUAGGAGCCAUUUUUAGUGUGAUGGUUGGAAAGUUUUUUCGGUGUAGGAUGAGCUCGCGGCCUAUCAGCUUGUUGGUGGGGUAAUGGCCUACCAAGGCGGCGACGGGUAGCCGGCCUGAGAGGGUGGACGGCCACAUUGGGACUGAGAUACGGCCCAGACUCCUACGGGAGGCAGCAGUGGGGAAUAUUGCACAAUGGGCGCAAGCCUGAUGCAGCGACGCCGCGUGGGGGAUGACGGCCUUCGGGUUGUAAACUCCUUUCGCUAGGGACGAAGCUUUUUGUGACGGUACCUAGAUAAGAAGCACCGGCUAACUACGUGCCAGCAGCCGCGGUAAUACGUAGGGUGCGAGCGUUGUCCGGAAUUACUGGGCGUAAAGGGCUCGUAGGUGGUUUGUCGCGUCGUCUGUGAAAUUCCGGGGCUUAACUCCGGGCGUGCAGGCGAUACGGGCAUAACUUGAGUACUGUAGGGGUAACUGGAAUUCCUGGUGUAGCGGUGAAAUGCGCAGAUAUCAGGAGGAACACCGAUGGCGAAGGCAGGUUACUGGGCAGUUACUGACGCUGAGGAGCGAAAGCAUGGGUAGCGAACAGGAUUAGAUACUCUGGUAGUCCAUGCCGUAAACGGUGGGGCGCUAGGUGGGGAGGGUCUUUUCACGACUUUCGUGCCGUAGCUAACGCAUUAAGCGCCCGGCCUGGGG